UUUUCGUACUCCUCUUCCUUCCCUCUUAUUCCUCCUCCCCCUCAUCAUCUAUCUAUCUCCUCUUCCUCUUCUCCUCCCUUCUCCUUCUCCUCCUUCCCCAUCAUCAUCAUCAUCAUCCUUAUUAUACUGUUCUUAAAGCCUCGCUAUGCAGUAAAUAUCAACCUCACGAAAACUGUACAUAAUAACUCCUGCAAUACGGUGCAAUAUCCCCUUGCAACAAACCUCGAAGCGUGCAAUAAUAGGUGAUGCAGAGGAGGCUUCAGAAGGCCUAUGAAAAUGAGGCCUAAUCAAGGAUUCCCUUAUGAUGAGUGCCACUUAAACCCCGGUCACGCCUUGGGAGAACCGGAGCCUGCGAACCCCUGGCCGGAGAGUCGAACCGCAGGAAGUGGCAGCUGGUUUUGGGAAUUGCUCUCCUCACUCGCGGCGAAAGCGGAACCGGUUUCGAGGGACACGGCCGCGUGGACAACCCGAACCGUUUUGUGGAACCGAGGGUUUUAGACCAACCAGAACGGUGUCUAGGAGGCUAGGAGUAAUAUAUCAACCAGAAAUUAUUUCGUGGAACCAGGGUUUAUGGACCAACCAGGAGCUAUUUGUUGGACCAGGUUUAUAUGUCAACCGGAACCGAUUUUUGUGGAACCAUCAUUUAUGUAUCAUCAAGAACCGAUUUGUGGAACCAAAGAUUCUAGACUAAGUAGAACUGACUGUAUGGAAUCAGGGUUUAUUUAUCAACCAGAACCGAUUUUGUGGAACCAAAGAGAUAGCGGUUCAACAAGACUUACGGCCCACCAAAACUGAUUUUAAGGACCCACAUUUUCAAAACGAAGAGAACCGAUCUCAAGGAACCGGGCGCUCUAGAACCCCACCUUAAGCCAAGGGAAGCCUUCUUACUGAACCGUUUGUGUAUGGAACCAGGCUUGACAGAACAAGCAAGAACCAAAAUUAAAACCGAUUUUAAAAAAAAAAUUGUUGGAAUGUAAGUUUCCUGCAUUUUGAUAAAAAAAGGUAUAUAGAUAAAUAAAUAAAUCGUGUAGUUUAAAUGUCAUUUGUUCCUAGAACCUGGAUUUAAAAAAUGCGAAUUUUAAGAAGACAAAAUGUUGAAACAAAAUAAGACAAGAAAAUAUACAAAAAGAAAGGAAACACGCGGGUUAUUUAGAAAAGACGAUUCAUUUUGCUUUUGCUCCGUAAAUAGAUAUAUUCCACACAUUUAUGUCCUCUGUGGAUUUAGAUAUAAAAAAUAUUAUGUAUCUUACUCACUAAUUUGCUUUAUUUAUACAGACUAAAUGAUAAGAACUUCUAAUGGUAAUUAAUAUCUAUUUAAUAUUUACAGAACUGUAAGUAUAAUUGAUAUGAAUGUGUAAGUAACAAUUUAGAACGAUAACAAAGCAACCAUUAUAAAAAAAAAAUAAAAAAAAUAGACAUAUUGAUAAUGAUAAUGACAAUAAAAACGGCAAAUUUGAA